AUUGAACGCUGGCGGCAUGCUUUACACAUGCAAGUCGAACGGUAACAGGGUGCUUGCACCGCUGACGAGUGGCGAACGGGUGAGUAAUGCGUCGGAACGUGCCGAGUAGUGGGGGAUAACGCAGCGAAAGUUGUGCUAAUACCGCAUACGUACUGAGGUAGAAAGUGGGGGACCUUCGGGCCUCACGCUAUUCGAGCGGCCGACGUCUGAUUAGCUAGUUGGUGAGGUAAAGGCUCACCAAGGCGACGAUCAGUAGCGGGUCUGAGAGGAUGGUCCGCCACACUGGGACUGAGACACGGCCCAGACUCCUACGGGAGGCAGCAGUGGGGAAUUUUGGACAAUGGGCGCAAGCCUGAUCCAGCCAUGCCGCGUGUCUGAAGAAGGCCUUCAGGUUGUAAAGGACUUUUGUCCGGGAGCAAAUGCCUGGUGUUAAUAGCACUGGGAGCUGAGAGUACCGGAAGAAUAAGCACCGGCUAACUACGUGCCAGCAGCCGCCGUAAGAC
rnacentral:rRNA from 1 species